rfam:Dipodomys ordii contig_72678, whole genome shotgun sequence.
AUGAGGAGUUAAGAGUUCAUUCGGCUGUCCAGAUGUAUCCAAGUACCCAGUUAUUUGGCAAUAAAUACAUCUGGGCAACUGAUUGAACUUUUCGCUUUUCAU